UACGUAGGUGGCAAGCGUUGUCCGGAAUUAUUGGGCGUAAAGCGCGCGCAGGCGGUCCUUUAAGUCUGAUGUGAAAGCCCACGGCUCAACCGUGGAGGGUCAUUGGAAACUGGGGGACUUGAGUGCAGGAGAGAAAAGUGGAAUUCCACGUGUAGCGGUGAAAUGCGUAGAGAUGUGGAGGAACACCAGUGGCGAAGGCGACUUUUUGGCCUGUAACUGACGCUGAGGCGCGAAAGCGUGGGGAGCAAACGGG
rnacentral:rRNA from 1 species